AGUGAACGCUGGCGGUAGGCCUAACACAUGCAAGUCGAACGGCAGCACGGUAAGAGCUUGCUCUUACGGGUGGCGAGUGGCGGACGGGUGAGGAAUACAUCGGAAUCUACUUUUUCGUGGGGGAUAACGUAGGGAAACUUACGCUAAUACCGCAUACGACCUACGGGUGAAAGCAGGGGAUCUUCGGACCUUGCGCGAUUGAAUGAGCCGAUGUCGGAUUAGCUAGUUGGCGGGGUAAAGGCCCACCAAGGCGACGAUCCGUAGCUGGUCUGAGAGGAUGAUCAGCCACACUGGAACUGAGACACGGUCCAGACUCCUACGGGAGGCAGCAGUGGAGAAUAUUGGACAAUGGGCGCAAGCCUGAUCCAGCCAUACCGCGUGGGUGAAGAAGGCCUUCGGGUUGUAAAGCCCUUUUGUUGGGAAAGAAAAGCAGCAGGUUAAUACCCCGCUGUUCUGACGGUACCCAAAGAAUAAGCACCGGCUAACUUCGUG
rnacentral:rRNA from 1 species